rnacentral:rRNA from 1 species
UACGUAGGGUGCAAGCGUUAAUCGGAAUUACUGGGCGUAAAGCGUGCGCAGGCGGUUAUGUAAGACAGGUGUGAAAUCCCCGGGCUUAACCUGGGAACUGCAUUCGAGACUGCAUGGCUAGGGUGCGGAAGAGGGAAGCGGAAUUUCCGGUGUAGCGGUGAAAUGCGUAGAUAUCGGAAGGAACACCAGUGGCGAAAGCGGCUUCCUGGUCCAGCACCGACAUUCAGGCACGAAAGCGUGGGGAGCAAACGGG